GUCGCAGAGUCAGAAUACGACAUUUGGACGUUGGGAGAAUCUUGACACUUUUUUUACAUAAAAAUUUCCAAAUGAUGCGUCUUGAUAAGAUUUGAGUUUUUUUUCAAACAAAUGUAUAAAAGACAAAUAAACUAAAACGUCAAUCAGAAAUGUGUGUAAGCUUACUGACUGUGUGUGUGUGUGUGCGUGUGUGUGUACAGCUGACGGCAACCCUGUCGAGAAAGACUCUCUGAUAACACCACCGAUGGAAGAAGGAGCAAAGACGUCCCUGAACGGCUCGGACUCUGGCGUCUCCGUCUGAAGCAAAAGAUCUAAAUGAUCUAUGAGAGUGGGAGGCCGUUGACAUCCAAACAGCAGCUGUGGGAUGUUAUUCUGACACCCUGCAAAGAAAAUCAAGGAUAAAGUCUGCAAAACCUCACAAGUUCAAAGGAUGAAAGAAUGGUGAAUCUGCUGUAAAUCAGGUUUCCUAUGUUAAAAUGAUGUUUUUUAUUUCAGUAAACACGACCUCCUGAUGCUGCAAAUUCAACAAAUUAUAAAAUGUUUCGAAACUCUUUCUCUGUUCAUAAUAGUUUGGAACAGUGCAGCGCACACGUUUUUUAUUUUUGAAAAAAAUAAUGUUAUCAUUGGGAGGUUUGUUCAAUUACAUUCAAAUUAUAUUCUCAAUACUGGAAAUUAUGCCGACUGUCAUUUGCAUCAGCUAUUUAGGAAAAUCAGAGAAAAAUGUAAUUUGUGUAAUAAUUUGGAAUGAGGUGUGAAGACUGUAAAUAUACAAGAUUAUAAAGAUAUAUAAACCCUAAAUAUCUAGGUAUACAUAUACAAAUAUAGUAAGUACUAAAGAUUUAAGUCUAAACAAUAUAAUAAACAGCAGCAAGUAACAACAACAAGGACAGUGAGUUGUCGAUGAUAGCAGUAAAAACACAGUGUGUCUGUGGUGAUGAUUGUAUACACCCGUGUUGUGGUGUUGCUUCUUCUGUCCUACUGUGGAAUCUGAUUUAUGUUAAUAUUUAGGAGUUUCCCAUAUUUCUCAAGGAUUAAAUCCAUAUUUUAUUUGCAAUUUGUUCAUUUUUGAUUUUGCUUGAUUCAUAAAGUGUUUGAAAAUAUUAACACAAAUUUAAUUCAUACUGAACCAAAAAUGAUGUAAAAAAAAAAAAAUCAUUUAAUCUCAGAUUUUAUGCCGUUUUAUUUGUUUCUUUCAAAAAUACUUCCGGUAUAUUAUAGAAACAUUGAGCCAGGUUUUUUCAAUUACAUUUACACGCAGACGUAGAGACAAACAAAGAUUUCAGUUUCUCUUGUAACGAGAUCAAAUUUUCA